GUCUUUUUGAUUAUAAUUUAAAGUCUGACCUGCCCUAUGAAUAUAAAAGUUUAAAUGGCUGCGGUAUUUUGACCGUACAAAGGUAGCAUAAUAAUUAGUUUUUUAAUUGGGAACUGGUAUGAAAGGUCGAACGAGAAAAAAACUGUCUCAAUUUAAUUUUAAUUAGAAUUUUAUUUUUAAGUAAAAAAGCUUAAAUAAUUUUAAAAGACGAGAAGACCCUAUAGAGUUUUAUAAAAAUUUAAUUAUUUAAAAAUUAAAGAAUUUAAAGUUUAUUUAUUUAAGUUUUUAUUUAAUUGGGGCGAUUAAAAAAUUUAAAGAACUUUUUUUAAAUAAUAACAUUGAUUUAUGAUUAAGUGAUCCAUUUAUUAUGAUUAUAAGAUUAAAUUACCUUAGGGAUAACAGCGUAAUUUUUUUUGAGAGUUCUUAUCGAAAAAAAAGUUUGCGA
rnacentral:rRNA from 1 species